rnacentral:rRNA from 1 species
GACGAGCGCUGGCGGCGUGCUUAACACAUGCAAGUCGAACGGAAAGGCCCUGCUUUUGUGGGGUGCUCGAGUGGCGAACGGGUGAGUAACACGUGAGUAACCUGCCCUUGACUUUGGGAUAACUUCAGGAAACUGGGGCUAAUACCGGAUAGGAGCUCCUGCUGCAUGGUGGGGGUUGGAAAGUUUCGGCGGUUGGGGAUGGACUCGCGGCUUAUCAGCUUGUUGGUGGGGUAGUGGCUUACCAAGGCUUUGACGGGUAGCCGGCCUGAGAGGGUGACCGGCCACAUUGGGACUGAGAUACGGCCCAGACUCCUACGGGAGGCAACAGUGGGGAAUAUUGCACAAUGGGCGGAAGCCUGAUGCAGCAACGCCGCGUGCGGGAUGACGGCCUUCGGGUUGUAAACCGCUUUCGCCUGUGACGAAGCGUGAGUGACGGUAAUGGGUAAAGAAGCACCGGCUAACUACGUG